rnacentral:rRNA from 1 species
GGGUUGUGAGGUUAAGCGACUAAGCGUACACGGUGGAUGCCCUGGCAGUCAGAGGCGAUGAAGGACGUGCUAAUCUGCGAUAAGCGUCGGUAAGGUGAUAUGAACCGUUAUAACCGGCGAUUUCCGAAUGGGGAAACCCAGUGUGAUUCGUCACACUAUCAUUAACUGAAUCCAUAGGUUAAUGAGGCGAACCGGGGGAACUGAAACAUCUAAGUACCCCGAGGAAAAGAAAUCAACCGAGAUUCCCCCAGUAGCGGCGAGCGAACGGGGAGGAGCCCAGAGCCUGAAUCAGUGUGUGUGUUAGUGGAAGCGUCUGGAAAGGCGCGCGAUACAGGGUGACAGCCCCGUACACAAAAAUGCACAUGCUGUGAGCUCGAUGAGUAGGGCGGGACACGUGGUAUCCUGUCUGAAUAUGGGGGGACCAUCCUCCAAGGCUAAAUACUCCUGACUGACCGAUAGUGAACCAGUACCGUGAGGGAAAGGCGAAAAGAACCCCGGCGAGGGGAGUGAAAAAGAACCUGAAACCGUGUACGUACAAGCAGUGGGAGCACGCUUCGGCGUGUGACUGCGUACCUUUUGUAUAAUGGGUCAGCGACUUAUAUUCUGUAGCAAGGUUAACCGAAUAGGGGAGCCGAAGGGAAACCGAGUCUUAACUGGGCGUUAAGUUGCAGGGUAUAGACCCGAAACCCGGUGAUCUAGCCAUGGGCAGGUUGAAGGUUGGGUAACACUAACUGGAGGACCGAACCGACUAAUGUUGAAAAAUUAGCGGAUGACUUGUGGCUGGGGGUGAAAGGCCAAUCAAACCGGGAGAUAGCUGGUUCUCCCCGAAAGCUAUUUAGGUAGCGCCUCGUGAAUUCAUCUCCGGGGGUAGAGCACUGUUUCGGCAAGGGGGUCAUCCCGACUUACCAACCCGAUGCAAACUGCGAAUACCGGAGAAUGUUAUCACGGGAGACACACGGCGGGUGCUAACGUCCGUCGUGAAGAGGGAAACAACCCAGACCGCCAGCUAAGGUCCCAAAGUCAUGGUUAAGUGGGAAACGAUGUGGGAAGGCCCAGACAGCCAGGAUGUUGGCUUAGAAGCAGCCAUCAUUUAAAGAAAGCGUAAUAGCUCACUGGUCGAGUCGGCCUGCGCGGAAGAUGUAACGGGGCUAAACCAUGCACCGAAGCUGCGGCAGCGACACUAUGUGUUGUUGGGUAGGGGAGCGUUCUGUAAGCCUGUGAAGGUGUACUGUGAGGUAUGCUGGAGGUAUCAGAAGUGCGAAUGCUGACAUAAGUAACGAUAAAGCGGGUGAAAAGCCCGCUCGCCGGAAGACCAAGGGUUCCUGUCCAACGUUAAUCGGGGCAGGGUGAGUCGACCCCUAAGGCGAGGCCGAAAGGCGUAGUCGAUGGGAAACAGGUUAAUAUUCCUGUACUUGGUGUUACUGCGAAGGGGGGACGGAGAAGGCUAUGUUGGCCGGGCGACGGUUGUCCCGGUUUAAGCGUGUAGGCUGGUUUUCCAGGCAAAUCCGGAAAAUCAAGGCUGAGGCGUGAUGACGAGGCACUACGGUGCUGAAGCAACAAAUGCCCUGCUUCCAGGAAAAGCCUCUAAGCAUCAGGUAACAUCAAAUCGUACCCCAAACCGACACAGGUGGUCAGGUAGAGAAUACCAAGGCGCUUGAGAGAACUCGGGUGAAGGAACUAGGCAAAAUGGUGCCGUAACUUCGGGAGAAGGCACGCUGAUAUGUAGGUGAAGUCCCUCGCGGAUGGAGCUGAAAUCAGUCGAAGAUACCAGCUGGCUGCAACUGUUUAUUAAAAACACAGCACUGUGCAAACACGAAAGUGGACGUAUACGGUGUGACGCCUGCCCGGUGCCGGAAGGUUAAUUGAUGGGGUCAGCGGUAACGCGAAGCUCUUGAUCGAAGCCCCGGUAAACGGCGGCCGUAACUAUAACGGUCCUAAGGUAGCGAAAUUCCUUGUCGGGUAAGUUCCGACCUGCACGAAUGGCGUAAUGAUGGCCAGGCUGUCUCCACCCGAGACUCAGUGAAAUUGAACUCGCUGUGAAGAUGCAGUGUACCCGCGGCAAGACGGAAAGACCCCGUGAACCUUUACUAUAGCUUGACACUGAACAUUGAGCCUUGAUGUGUAGGAUAGGUGGGAGGCUUUGAAGUGUGGACGCCAGUCUGCAUGGAGCCGACCUUGAAAUACCACCCUUUAAUGUUUGAUGUUCUAACGUUGACCCGUUAUCCGGGUUGCGGACAGUGUCUGGUGGGUAGUUUGACUGGGGCGGUCUCCUCCUAAAGAGUAACGGAGGAGCACGAAGGUUGGCUAAUCCUGGUCGGACAUCAGGAGGUUAGUGCAAUGGCAUAAGCCAGCUUGACUGCGAGCGUGACGGCGCGAGCAGGUGCGAAAGCAGGUCAUAGUGAUCCGGUGGUUCUGAAUGGAAGGGCCAUCGCUCAACGGAUAAAAGGUACUCCGGGGAUAACAGGCUGAUACCGCCCAAGAGUUCAUAUCGACGGCGGUGUUUGGCACCUCGAUGUCGGCUCAUCACAUCCUGGGGCUGAAGUAGGUCCCAAGGGUAUGGCUGUUCGCCAUUUAAAGUGGUACGCGAGCUGGGUUUAGAACGUCGUGAGACAGUUCGGUCCCUAUCUGCCGUGGGCGCUGGAGAACUGAGGGGGGCUGCUCCUAGUACGAGAGGACCGGAGUGGACGCAUCACUGGUGUUCGGGUUGUCAUGCCAAUGGCACUGCCCGGUAGCUAAAUGCGGAAGAGAUAAGUGCUGAAAGCAUCUAAGCACGAAACUUGCCCCGAGAUGAGUUCUCCCUGACUCCUUGAGGGUCCUGAAGGAACGUUGAAGACGACGACGUUGAUAGGCCGGGUGUGUAAGCGCAGCGAUGCGUUGAGCUAACCGGUACUAAUGAACCGUGAGGCUUAACCUUACAACGCCGAAG